rnacentral:rRNA from 1 species
AUUGAACGCUGGCGGCAGGCCUAACACAUGCAAGUCGAACGAGUGGCGGACGGGUGAGUAAUGUCUGGGAAACUGCCCGAUGGAGGGGGAUAACUACUGGAAACGGUAGCUAAUACCGCCUACCAUCUGAUUUGCCCAGAUGGGGUUGGCUUGUAGGUGGGGUAACGGCUCACCUAGGCGACGAUCCCUCGCUGGUUUGAGAGGAUGACCAGCCAAACUGGAACUGAGACACGGUCCAGACUCCUACGGGAGGCAGAAGUGGGGAAUAUUGCACAAUGGGCGCAAGCCUGAUGCAGCCAUGCCGCGUGUAUGAAGAAGGCCUUCGGGUUGUAAAGUACUUUCAGCGAGGAGGCGUUACUCGCAGAAGAAGCACCGGCUAACUCCGUGCCAGCAGCCGCGGUAAUAC